GACGAACGCUGGCGGCGUGCUUAACACAUGCAAGUCGAACGGAAAGACCCUGCUUUUGUGGGGUGCUCGAGUGGCGAACGGGUGAGUAACACGUGAGUCACCUGCCCUUGACUUUGGGAUAACUUCAGGAAACUGGGGCUAAUACCGGAUAGGAGCUCCUGCUGCAUGGUGGGGGUUGGAAAGUUUCGGCGGUUGGGGAUGGACUCGCGGCUUAUCAGCUUGUUGGUGGGGUAGUGGCUUACCAAGGCUUUGACGGGUAGCCGGCCUGAGAGGGUGACCGGCCACAUUGGGACUGAGAUACGGCCCAGACUCCUACGGGAGGCAGCAGUGGGGAAUAUUGCACAAUGGGCGGAAGCCUGAUGCAGCAACGCCGCGUGCGGGAUGACGGCCUUCGGGUUGUAAACCGCUUUCGCCUGUGACGAAGCGUGAGUGACGGUAAUGGGUAAAGAAGCACCGGCUAACUACGUG
rnacentral:rRNA from 1 species